AUGAACGCUGGCGGCGUGCCUAAUACAUGCAAGUCGAGCGAACAGAUGAGGAGCUUGCUCCUCUGACGUUAGCGGCGGACGGGUGAGUAACACGUGGAUAACCUACCUAUAAGACUGGGAUAACUUCGGGAAACCGGAGCUAAUACCGGAUAAUAUAUUGAACCGCAUGGUUCAAUAGUGAAAGACGGUUUUGCCGUCACUUAUAGAUGGAUUCGCGCCGCAUUAGCUAGUUGGUAAGGUAACGGCUUACCAAGGCAACGAUGCGUAGCCGACCUGAGAGGGUGAUCGGCCACACUGGAACUGAGACACGGUCCAGACUCCUACGGGAGGCAGCAGUAGGGAAUCUUCCGCAAUGGGCGAAAGCCUGACGGAGCAACGCCGCGUGAGUGAUGAAGGUCUUCGGAUCGUAAAACUCUGUUAUUAGGGAAGAACAAAUGUGUAAGUAACUAUGCACGUCUUGACGGUACCUAAUCAGAAAGCCACGGCUAACUACGUG
rnacentral:rRNA from 1 species